GACAGAGGGUGCAAACGUUGUUCGGAUUUACUGGGCGUAAAGCGCGUGUAGGCGGCUUGGUAAGUCGGAUGUGAAAGCCCACCGCUCACCGGUGGAAGUGCAUUCGAAACUGCUUCGCUAGAGUCCUGGAGAGGAAGAUGGAAUGCUUGGUGUAGAGGUGAAAUUCGUAGAUAUCAAGCAGAACACCUGCGGCGAAGGCGGUCUUCUGGACAGUGACUGACGCUGAGACGCGAAAGCGUGGGGAGCAAACAGG
rnacentral:rRNA from 1 species